rnacentral:rRNA from 1 species
UGUAUAAUGGGUCAGCGACUUAUAUUCUGUAGCAAGGUUAACCGUAUAGGGGAGCCGUAGGGAAACCGAGUCUUAACUGGGCGAAUGAGUUGCAGGGUAUAGACCCGAAACCCGGUGAUCUAUCCAUGGGCAGGUUGAAGGUUGGGUAACACUAACUGGAGGACCGAACCGACUAAUGUUGAAAAAUUAGCGGAUGACUUGUGGAUGGGGGUGAAAGGCCAAUCAAACCGGGAGAUAGCUGGUUCUCCCCGAAAGCUAUUUAGGUAGCGCCUCGUGAACUCAUCUUCGGGGGUAGAGCACUGUUUCGACUAGGGGGUCAUCCCGACUUACCAACUCGAUGCAAACUGCGAAUACCGAAGAAUGUUAUCACGGGAGACACACGGCGGGUGCUAACGUCCGUCGUGAAGAGGGAAACAACCCAGACCGCCAGCUAAGGUCCCAAAGUCAUGGUUAAGUGGGAAACGAAGUGGGAAGGCUCAGACAGCCAGGAUGUUGGCUUAGAAGCAGCCAUCAUUUAAAGAAAGCG